rnacentral:rRNA from 1 species
UGGGGUAUAUUGGACAAUGGGCGAAAGCCUGAUCCAGCCAUGCCGCGUGUGUGAAGAAGGUCUUCGGAUUGUAAAGCACUUUAAGUUGGGAGGAAGGGCAGUAAGCGAAUACCUUGCUGUUUUGACGUUACCGACAGAAUAAGCACCGGCUAACUCUGUGCCAGCAGCCGCGGUAAUACCGAGGGUGCAAGCGUUAAUCGGAAUUACUGGGCGUAAAGCGCGCGUAGGUGGUUCGUUAAGUUGAAUGUGAAAGCCCCGGGCUCAACCUGGGAACUGCAUCCAAAACAGGCGAGCUAGAGUAGGGCAGAGGGUGGUGGAAUUUCCUGUGUAGCGGUGAAAUGCGUAGAUAUAGGAAGGAACACCAGUGGCGAAGGCGACCACCUGGGCUCAUACUGACACUGAGGUGCGAAAGCGUGGGGAGCAAACAGG